rnacentral:rRNA from 1 species
UACAGAGGGUGCGAGCGUUAAUCGGAAUUACUGGGCGUAAAGCGUGCGUAGACGGCUAUCUAAGUCGGGUGUGAAAGCCCCGGGCUCAACCUGGGAAUUGCAUUCGAGACUGAAUAGCUAGGGUACGGUAGAGGGAAGUGGAAUUUCCGGUGUAGCGGUGAAAUGCGUAGAUAUCAGGAAGAACACCAAUGGCGAAAGCAGCUCUCUGGGACGGUACUGACGCUGAGACGCGAAAGCGUGGGGAGCGAACAGG